rnacentral:rRNA from 1 species
CCUACGGGUGGCAGCAGUGAGGAAUAUUGGUCAAUGGACGAGAGUCUGAACCAGCCAAGUAGCGUGAAGGAUGACUGCCCUAUGGGUUGUAAACUUCUUUUAUAUGGGAAUAAAACGUUCCACGUGUGGGAUUUUGUAUGUACCAUAUGAAUAAGGAUCGGCUAACUCCGUGCCAGCAGCCGCGGUAAUACGGAGGAUCCGAGCGUUAUCCGGAUUUAUUGGGUUUAAAGGGAGCGUAGGUGGAUUGUUAAGUCAGUUGUGAAAGUUUGCGGCUCAACCGUAAAAUUGCAGUUGAAACUGGCAGUCUUGAGUACAGUAGAGGUGGGCGGAAUUCGUGGUGUAGCGGUGAAAUGCUUAGAUAUCAUGAAGAACUCCGAUUGCGAAGGCAGUUCACUGGACUGCAACUGACACUGAGGCUCGAAAGUGUGGGUAUCAAACAGGAUUAGAUACCCUUGUAGUC